rnacentral:lncRNA from 10 species
GGAAUCACGACAUUAAAAUUGUAACACAGGCAGGCAAUUCCUAAUUUCCUUUUUCUAAAAACAAAUGAUUUUUGAGCUAAUACUUACACUACUCACAUAUUGUUGUUUAAAUAUUAUAGAUUCUGCUUCUGGCCCGGGGGCUGGUAAUCCCUCAGCUUAGUACUUCUAAUUAAUACCACAUUCUGAUUGCUGACAACAGGUUACCCAGUCUGGGUCAUAACUAUAAAGCCAUCCCGGGAACCACCAGGAAUGAGUCACAUUUUGGCUUCUUUUGUUUAUUUUCUGGUUAGUGAAAUAUCUUGUAUUAUAUAACUGACAUGCUACAUAAGUGUGCCUCUGUGUGUGUGUGUGUGUGUGUGUGUGUGUGUGUGUGUGUAUGUACAGUUAGCCAUUUAUCCUAAAU